rnacentral:lncRNA from 1 species
CUCUGCACAAGCAACUCCUCGGACAGAAGCUUCAGCACCGCACCAUUCAACCAAUCAAAAUUCACUACCAACUUCACACUCAACCGUAAACCACUCCUCUCCACAAACCGCGACUCCACCUUCAUUCUUUCUCUUCACCUCUACACUCCACACCACCGCACUUCACUUCACUCUCUUCACUUCGCACCAGCCAUCCAAGAGCUUCUACAAUUUUUCUUUCCUGCUGCUGUCCGUAAGGUCGA